rnacentral:rRNA from 1 species
GCCUUUAGCCACACAAGUAUUAAAGGUCCCGCCUGCCCAGUGAUAUAUUUUAACGGCCGCGGUAUUCUAACCGUGCAAAGGUAGCGUAAUCACUUGUCUUCUAAAUAAAGACCAGUAUGAACGGCUAAAUGAGGACACACCUGUCUCCUACGACAAAUCAGUGAAACUGAUCUCCCAGUACAAAAGCUGGGAUAAAUACAUAAGACGAGAAGACCCUGUGGAGCUUAUAAACAAAAGGUCAACUAAACGAGCCCAACAACCAAUCAAUGACCACAUGUUUUAAGUUGGGGCGACUUCGGAAAAAAACAAAACUUCCGAGAGCAGGGCCACAAGCCCUUCCUAAGGGGCACACCCCAAAGCGCUAACAUAAUAUGACCCAGUCAAACUGACUAACGAACCAAGUUACCCCAGGGAUAACAGCGCCAUCUUCUUCGAGAGUCCAUAUCGACAAGAAGGUUUACGACCUCGAUGUUGGAUCAGGACACCCAAAUGGUGCAGCAGCUAUUAAAGGUUCGUUUGUUCAACGAUUAACAGUCCUACGUGAUCUGAGUUCAGACCGGAGUAAUCC